UAUAUCUUAGUAUAAUUAUGUAUAUUAAUUUUUGAUAUUAAUGGGAAUAGUUUAAUUCUAUUAGAUAUAA
rnacentral:tRNA from 1 species